rnacentral:rRNA from 1 species
CGUAUACGGUGGAUGCCUUGGCAGUUAGAGGCGAUGAAGGACGUGUAAGUCUGCGAUAAGCUGUGGAGAGCCGACAAAAUGCUUUGACCCACAGAUUUCCGAAUGGGGAAACCCACCGCUUCGGCGGUAUCUUAUAGUGAAUACAUAGCUAUAAGAAGCGAACGAGGGGAACUGAAACAUCUAAGUACCCUUAGGAAAAGAAAUCAACAGAGAUUCCCCUAGUAGCGGCGAGCGAACGGGGAACAGCCCUUAAGCUGUAUUGAAUGUAGUGGAAUCCUUUGGGAAGAGGAGCGAUACAAGGUGAUAGCCCUGUACACGACGCAAUCUUUACAGUGAAAUCGAGUAGGUCGGGACACGUGUUAUCUUGACUGAAUAUGGGGGGACCAUCCUCCAAGGCUAAAUACUCCUAACUGACCGAUAGUGAACCAGUACCGUGAGGGAAAGGCGAAAAGAACCCCUGUGAGGGGAGUGAAAUAGAACCUGAAACCGUAUACGUACAAGCAGUGGGAGCCCUUCGGGGUGACUGCGUACCUUUUGUAUAAUGGGUCAGCGACUUAUAUUUAGUAGCAAGGUUAAGCGAAUAGCGGAGCCGUAGCGAAAGCGAGUGUUAACUGCGCGUUUAGUUGCUAGGUAUAGACCCGAAACCGAGUGAUCUAGCCAUGGGCAGGUUGAAGGUUGAGUAACAUCAACUGGAGGACCGAACCGACUAACUUUGAAAAGUUAGCGGAUGACUUGUGGCUGGGGGUGAAAGGCCAAUCAAACUCGGAAAUAGCUCGUACUCCCCGAA